rnacentral:rRNA from 1 species
UACGUAGGGCGCAAGCGUUGUCCGGAAUUAUUGGGCGUAAAGAGCUCGUAGGCGGUUUGUCGCGUCUGCUGUGAAAACCUAAGGCUCAACCUUGGGCUUGCAGUGGGUACGGGCAGACUAGAGUGCGGUAGGGGUGACUGGAAUUCCUGGUGUAGCGGUGGAAUGCGCAGAUAUCAGGGAGGAACACCGAUGGCGAAGGCAGGUCACUGGGCCGCAACUGACGCUGAGGAGCGAAAGCAUGGGGAGCGAACAGG